rnacentral:rRNA from 2 species
UACGAAGGGAGCUAGCGUUGUUCGGAAUUACUGGGCGUAAAGGGCGCGUAGGCGGCCGUUUAAGUCAGAUGUGAAAGCCUUGGGCUCAACCUGAGAAUUGCAUUUGAUACUGGACGGCUUGAGAUCGAGAGAGGAAAGUGGAAUUAUGAGUGUAGAGGUGAAAUUCGUAGAUAUUCAUAAGAACACCAGUGGCGAAGGCGACUUUCUGGCUCGAUACUGACGCUAAGGCGCGAAAGCGUGGGGAGCAAAC